rnacentral:tRNA from 1 species
GCCCGGCUGGCUCAGCUGGUGGAGCGUGAGACUCUUGAUCUCAGGGCGGUGAGUUCGAGCCCCAUGGUGGGUG